GACGAACGCUGGCGGCGUGCUUAACACAUGCAAGUCGAGCGGUAAGGCCCUUUCGGGGGGUACACGAGCGGCGAACGGGUGAGUAACACGUGGGUGACCUGCCCUCAGCUCUGGGAUAAGCCUGGGAAACUGGGUCUAAUACUGGAUAUGACUCCACGGUGCAUGUCGUGGGGUGGAAAGCCUUGUGCGGCUGAGGAUGGGCCCGCGGCCUAUCAGCUUGUUGGUGGGGUGANGGCCUACCAAGGCGACGACGGGUAGCCGGCCUGAGAGGGCGACCGGCCACACUGGGACUGAGACACGGCCCAGACUCCUACGGGAGGCAGCAGUGGGGAAUCUUGCGCAAUGGGCGAAAGCCUGACGCAGCGACGCCGCGUGAGGGAUGACGGCCUCGG
rnacentral:rRNA from 1 species